rnacentral:rRNA from 1 species
AUUGAACGCUGGCGGCAGGCCUAACACAUGCAAGUCGAGCGGAUGAAGGGAGCUUGCUCCUGGAUUCAGCGGCGGACGGGUGAGUAAUGCCUAGGAAUCUGCCUGGUAGUGGGGGAUAACGUCCGGAAACGGGCGCUAAUACCGCAUACGUCCUGAGGGAGAAAGUGGGGGAUCUUCGGACCUCACGCUAUCAGAUGAGCCUAGGUCGGAUUAGCUAGUUGGUGGGGUAAAGGCCUACCAAGGCGACGAUCCGUAACUGGUCUGAGAGGAUGAUCAGUCACACUGAAACUGAGACACGGUCCAGACUCCUACGGGAGGCAGCAGUGGGGAAUACUGGACAAUGGGCGAAAGCCUGAUCCAGCCAUGCCGCGUGUGUGAAGAAGGUCUUCGGAUUGUAAAGCACUUUAAGUUGGGAGGAAGGGCAGUAAGUUAAUACCUUGCUGUUUUGACGUUACCAACAGAAUAAGCACCGGCUAACUUCGUG